AAAAGAACCUGAAACCGUGUACGUACAAGCAGUGGGAGCCCCACCACUAAGCCAGUGGUGAACUCCACAUACGCAUCCUUUGCUGAGGAUACGGUUAACGGAGCGAAAGCGACGUUCAACCGCAAAAGAAGCAGAGGGGGCUUAGUGGUGGGGUGACUGCGUACCUUUUGUAUAAUGGGUCAGCGACUUAUAUUCUGUAGCAAGGUUAACCGAAUAGGGGAGCCGGAGGGAAACCGAGUCUUAAUUGGGCGUUAAGUUGCAGGGUAUAGACCC
rnacentral:rRNA from 1 species